GGGGCAAGAGGGCAACCAUGUACAAAGCUGAAGCUAAUUAUGUGAAGUAUGGUAAUCCCAUAAUUAGCUUAUAUUUUGGUAUUGGCUAAGACUAGAAUCUAAUAUAUGCCUGACUUCACAUAAUCAGCUCCAGCUAUGUACAUGGUUCCCAUUCUACCACUUUGUUUGGCAUCUCUCCCGCUGUGUAC